GCAGGUGUGGCGGAAUUGGUAGACGCGCUGGGUUUAGGUUCCAGUAACUUUGGUUAUGAGAGUUCGAGUCUCUCCACCUGUA
rnacentral:tRNA from 2 species